rnacentral:lncRNA from 1 species
GGAUGGAGGAGAGCCUGACAGAGGAGAAAAUCAGUGUCAACGUGGUGCUGAGAAGCUAAGCAACAUGUUAAGAACAAAAGCUUCAUCACCUGGAUCAACUCAGUAGAUAGGUGAGAUAAAUGAGAUAAACCUUAAUAAAGGCAAUUAAAUGAAAGGAUAUUUUCAAGGAAUAAUGAGAGAGGAGAAAUUCAAGACAGACCAUAAGUAUAGAUUUUUCAAGGAAUAAUGAGAGAGGAGAAAUUCAAGACAGACCGCUUCCGAGGCGAUCGGGCAGUGUCAGUCUUCAGCUGCUAAGCCAAGAAGAUCUGGGAAGGAGUCAGUCAGAGAGCCUUGGGCCAGAGUUCCAGGGGCUCUGGAAGUAGCUGCCAGUCUAGAGUAUAAAGAAGAGGAUGAAGGCUUAAGCAGGAAACUUUGACAGCUCCAAAGAUCUUAAUCCUUAUAAAGAAGUAAUUAAGUUUCAACUCUGCACUCAGAUUUUCAAGAAAUCUUUGCAACUUUAACAUAGUAUUUUGAGGAGUAAAAGUGACACCUGGAAAAAGCCAUCCAUGAGAACUAACUCCCCACA